CAGUAGCCGCGGUAAUACGAAGGGGGCUAGCGUUGCUCGGAAUCACUGGGCGUAAAGGGUGCGUAGGCGGGUCUUUAAGUCAGGGGUGAAAUCCUGGAGCUCAACUCCAGAACUGCCUUUGAUACUGAAGAUCUUGAGUUCGGGAGAGGUGAGUGGAACUGCGAGUGUAGAGGUGAAAUUCGUAGAUAUUCGCAAGAACACCUGUGGCGAAGGCGGCUCACUGGCCCGAUACUGACGCUGAGGCACGGAAGCGUGGGGAGCAAACAGGAUUAGAUACCCGUGUAGUCCCUGUCUCUUAUAC
rnacentral:rRNA from 1 species